GCGGAAAAAGGAUCGAACCUUCUCGCGCCUUCGGACCCAUCCCCGUCGCCCUGGCCAUUGGAUGCCGCGCCGGGUUCUGAUCCGACGGACGGCGAUGGGCCCGCCGCCGUGGAGAUAUCGCUAGCGGCUGGGCCCCACCUGCGCCCCCCCGCGCCAGCUUGGAUCGGCUUUCGAAUUCUUCUUUUCUCGGUACAAGUGGUGCGUCGCAUUCGAAUUCGCACAGUGCGUCUUUUCUUUCCUGAUUUCUGAUUUUUCUUUUUGUUUUUUGGAGAAAUUUCUCGUUUUGUUUUUAAUAAUCUGUCUUGCUUUGGUUCUCCUCCUCCCGUUUGAGUAUAAAUUUCCUAAUCCGCAAACGAAGUUUCCAGAAGACUUCCGUCCGUACCUUCUCGUUCACACGCGAAACUGCCUUUCCGGUGUCUGGAAGCUACUACUACGGUGGUCUGCCGCACCGGAUCAGAUCCGGCCGGGCGGGGGGGCCCGGGGGGAUGGCGGAGCAGGGGGCGGCCGAGGCGGAUGCUGCCGGCGGCGGAGAGCCUCCGCCGCCUGUGACGGCGGCGGCGGAGGCGUUGGCUGGGCAGAGGUCGCUGCCGACGCCGUUCCUGACGAAGACGUACCAGCUGGUGGACGACCCGGCGGUGGACGACGUGAUCUCGUGGAACGAGGACGGGUCGACGUUCGUGGUGUGGCGGCCGGCGGAGUUCGCGCGGGACCUCCUCCCCAAGUAUUUCAAGCACAACAACUUCUCGAGCUUCGUGCGGCAGCUCAACACCUAUGGAUUUAGGAAGAUCGUGCCGGACCGGUGGGAGUUCGCCAACGACUGCUUCCGGCGAGGGGAGAAGCGUCUGUUAUGUGAUAUACACCGCCGGAAGGUGGUGGCGGCGGCGCCGCCGUCGCCGGGGAUGGCGACGGCAGCUGCCGCGGUGGCGUCCGGAGCUGUGACAGUCGCCGCGGCGCCGAUACCUAUGGCGCUGCCGGUGACGCGGCAGGGCUCGCCGGCGCACUCCUCGGAGGAGCAGGUGCUCUCGUCCAACUCCGGGUCAGGGGAGGAGCACCGGCAGGCGUCCGGGUCUGGCUCUGCCCCUGGCGUCGGAGGCGGCGGCGCUGUCUCGGCGUCCGGCGAUAUGGGCGAGGAGAACGAGCGGCUCCGCCGGGAGAAUGCGCGGCUGACGCGGGAGCUCGGCCACAUGAAGAAGCUCUGCAACAACAUCCUCCUCCUCAUGUCCAAGUACGCCGCCACCCAGCAUCAGGAUGGCUCCGCCGGGAUAUCCUCCGUCGUGAACUGCUCCGGCGAGUCGUCGGAGGCCGUCCCCCCGCCCCCGCCUCUCCCCCCCGCGAUACUCGACCUAAUGCCCUCCUGCCCUGGUCUAGCCGCCACCGCCGCCGCCGCGGGCCUCGCCAUAGACGUCGAUCCCGACGCGAGCGCGCGGCUGUUCGGCGUCUCCAUCGGCCUGAAGCGGGCGCGAGACGACGCCGACGACGACAGCGGCCCUGCCGCAGGCGGCGGCGGCGGCGGCGGCGAGGAUUGGCCCGAGCACGGCGCGGACGUGAAGCCGGAGGCGGCGGAUCCGCAUCCCGGCGGCGGCAGCAGCAGCAAGGAGGCGUCGCCGGACCAGAACACGUGGCCCAUAUACCGGCCCACCCCCGUGUACCACUCCGUUAGGCCCGCCUGUGACAGGGCCGGGUCCGACCAAGACGGAUCCAGCUCCAGUUGGCCCAGACGUCAUCGCCGCUAGAAGGCACUGGACGCCGACGGUGCCCUUUUUGUUCCCGAAUUUUUCUUCUCCCAAGCUACUCGUAUUUUUUCCACUCGUACGCGACAUGGCAUCAGACAGCGACGCGUCGUCGAAUGGCUGCAGUGGGUCAGUUCUCGGCCAGAGAAACUGCCACGUGGCGCAGCCAAAAUCCAUCAUUCAUUCACUGCCUUCCCACAUCCACCGGAUUGUGAACCACGGGGCGAGCAUCCUGGACGCACUCCUGGCGAACCCGGAGCUCGUGAAACAACACACGCUCAUCAAGGAGCAGCUGAUCCAGUCGCCGUACCUACUCCGGAAGCCAGUGAAGCUGUCUGAUCCCGGGCGUGGGUGCCCGGGAUAUACGUACGGCGUGUGGGUCAUAGCGCACCUCGCCGGCGACCUCCGCCGGAGCAGCUCCAGCUCCCGCAUGGGAGCGACCUGUUCCCCUGCGUCGCCUCGCUGGUUCGGGCCCCCGGCGAUGACAAGGACACUGUAUUCGAUUUUUUGCAAGACGUGGCCGCGGCUGGCCUGCGUCUCCUCGGAAGCUUGUCGCCGACAACGAAGAAAUGCUCGCCAGCGUCAUGGUGCCCCUACGCCUGGUGGCAGCUCCUAGCGACGCCGGCGAGAUGGUCCGCCGUGGAAUCUCUGGCAGCAGGGACAUGAUGGCCAACAUGGAGUGGAUUAUUCGCUGCGACGAAUGUGAUGUCUGCCUGCUCAUGCAAGGACCACCGGUCACCGGAGAUUCUUCACCCUAUUACCAGGGCCGGCCAGUGGCGGAUCUUGGACGGCCGGACUGGUAGGCAGGUAGCAUGCAUGUAGAUCACCAACGAGUGAUGACGACCGGACGGCAUCAGGU